ACCUGAGGGGCUCAGACUGGCUUCCUGCAGACUCUGGAUCGGAUGCCAAGUGAUAUGUAGGCAUGAACCAAGAGAAUGGGCAUCCAAGAUGGGUUCCUUUGCAAAAGCUUAGGAACGAGAUACCCCCUUAUGGCCUGAGAGGGGACUGAACACCGAUUUGGCAUGGCUACAAGGUCAGUCCUUUAGAACCCUAAGGAGAGUGAGUCAUUUGAAACAAUCUUUUUAUGAAAACACACAGGAGUAGUUUUCUGUUACCCAGAGUCCUCCACAAGUAAAUGAUUAAGUC
rnacentral:lncRNA from 1 species